rnacentral:rRNA from 1 species
GACAGCAGUCGCCACGGUAAUACGUAGGUGGCGAGCGUUGUCCGGAAUUAUUGGGCGUAAAGGGAGCGCAGGCGGACAUAUAAGUCCAUCUUAAAAGUGCGGGGCUCAACCCCGUGAGGGGAUGGAAACUGUAUGCCUUGAGUGCAGGAGAGGAAAGCGGAAUUCCCAGUGUAGCGGUGAAAUGCGUAGAUAUUGGGAGGAACACCAGUGGCGAAGGCGGCUUUCUGGACUGUAACUGACGCUGAGGCUCGAAAGCCAGGGGAGCGAACGGGAUUAGAUACCCCAGUAGUCCCUGUCUCUUAUACA